rnacentral:rRNA from 1 species
CUUCAGUUAGGCNGGCUUCCACACAGGUGCUGCAUGGCUGUCGUCAGCUCGUGUCGUGAGAAGUUGGGUUAAGUCCCGCAACGAGCGCAACCCUAGCCUUCAGUUGCCAUCACUUCUAGGUGGGCACUCUGAAGGAACUGCCGGUGACAAGCCGGAGGAAGGUGGGGAUGACGUCAAGUCCUCAUGGCCCUUACGGGCUGGGCUACACACGUGNUACAAUGGCGACUACAAUGGGAAGCGAAGGAGCGAUCCGGAGCCAAUCCACAAAAGUCGUCUCAGUUCGGAUUGCAGUCUGCAACUCGGCUGCAUGAAGUCGGAAUCGCUAGUAAUCGUGGAUCAGCACGCCACGGUGAAUACGUUCCCGGGCCUUGUACACACCGCCCGUCACACCAUGGGAGUUGGUUCUACCUUAAGCCGGCGCGCCGACCGCAAGGGGGCAGCCGACCACGGUAGGGUCAGCGACUGGGGUGAAGUCGUAACAAGGUAGCCGUAA